ACUCUGGAGACAGCAGGAGUAGGGCUGGGUGUGCAGGACCAGGACCUAGAGGGAAGGAGGACUGGCCCCAGAAGGAGACAGAGGGUGAGAGAGAGACGGAUGGUGUGACUGACCAGCAGCAGUGGCAGCAGCAGGGUAUACCAGUGUUUCCAGGGCAGGACUCAGAGGAGGGGUUGUACUACCACAGCAUCCUGCAGGCCGUACAGAAGUGGUUCAGUCAGUUUGGCUGGCCCCGUGGACCAAACCCCAUCUCUCUACCACGCUCUCUCAGAAGGGUGGUAUGUAGAGUCCAGACAGUAGACUCCAGCUCUAGUGAGUGGAGGAACUCGUACCUUAUGAGUCAAGGUAAAGACACACGGACCAUCUACGACAUGCUGC